rfam:Vibrio tubiashii ATCC 19109 chromosome 1, complete sequence.
AACGCCUAGUAAUGACCACAACCAUUAUUAUUACCGACAUCGCUAUUGUUGGGGCAGGCUGCUAAGCGAAAGAAAUUUUAAAAAAAGGCCUGUAUCCCACCAGAUACAGGCCUUUUUUUA